CCUCGCUGGUCAGUUACGAGUCAGCACGCGCUGCGGAUGAGUUCAUUCAGCAAGCCGAUAGGAAGAAGGACAUCUCAUGUUAUGGAAAUAACGAGAAAUUAACUCUAGUGUGUUUGACAGAUAGGCUACGCUUGGUUCUUUUCAAAGAUGUUUGGGUGAAGACACUUGUUUACACGCUGCAGUGUCUCGAGGUGAAUAACGUCGCUUUAAACAUGGCCCACCUCAUAUGGUUCAGUCUUGACUCGGCACCAGUCCAGCAGCAUUUGUUUGACAUCUUUGGUAUUUGGGCCCCCGACUGCUGAGCCGCCCGACACUUUAACCCUGGCCACAUGGGACUGAGCCAGAUCAGGAGGAAAACAACACAAUCGGUCAAUGGGAUCCGUCCCAUGCUGUCGUCCUGUCAGGACUCUAGGAAUGACUCACCUGCCCACAGUUUUUGGAGAGGAAGUAGAGGUUGGUGGAGAAAAUGUUUUUGCCUGAGCCAUCCCUGUACCCAAGGUGAGGUAAAAAGAGAUAUGGAAGGUUAUCAAAGCCUUGCAGAUUGAAGAGCAGGUACACAGUGUUCAGAUCCUCAUGAAUAAUGUUCACUCACUGUGUGCAUUGUACUGAGCGCCGCUCGUAACAUUAGUGGGUUUCUGGUCCUUAUUCAGACCAGCAGCUGUCUUUCCUCCACCACUCUGCUGACGCAGGGUCUCCAUUCGGGCCGCCCGUUCCCUAUCACGCCGCUCUGACAGAAACAGAGGAGUUUAACUCAAAAAACAGUAAAAAAAAAAAAAAAAAAAAAAAAAAAGCUAUCUAAAUUAUUGUUUUCUAAAUAAUACACAGUAUUUAAGUACUGUAAUACAAAAAAAAUCUCAUCGACAGUUAUGAGAAUUGCCCUGUCCAGAUACUUUUCCCCCACUAAGUAUAAUUAGCAUAAAUACUAAAGACAGUACAGCAAGGCAUGAAUUAUGCUUACAGUAAUAAUGUCACAAAAAACUUCAUUUUCUUUAUGCAAAAUAUUUUAAUUUAUUUUGACUUAAAUGUGAUCAAUAUUCCUAACAAGUUUUGUGAGAUUAACCAAAAAUAAUGUUGGGAAGCACAUUAGACUCAACAGACCAUUUCUGAGCCAUAUAUACUGAAUAUGUGACAUUAAGGACAUGCCCUGGUCCUCACCCCUCUUUCUCUUCAGCAGUUCUCUCAUGGCAGCGCGGAUCAUUUUCCUCUCCUCGAAAUCCACAGCCUUAUCUAGCUAGUACAUGCAAUGAACAGAAGAGAAACGCUUUCCUGAAUAUGGUUAAGACAAACUAUGAUAACAAACCAACUGCAACUGUAGUGCCAUUAGCUGCCUCUUACCAUAUUAUUGAGGAUCUCUUCAUCCUCUAUAGCUGCCAGCUGUUCGGCUGUCAGGGGACCUGUCGUAUCAGGUUGCUCUUUGGUACCUGGCUCUAAUGUUCCCUUCUCACCCUCCAUCUUCAGUGACAGCUGGGACAGAAAGAGGAACAGGAGGUGUUGAUGGAGCCAGAUUACGAGAUGUGUGUAUCUCCAUGUGUGCAUGGGAAUGAGGGAGUACGUUUAUGGAUAGGAAAAUUGAGCGAAAGAGAUUCUAGCUGAACACUUUGUGCGAGAGCUACUAGUACAGAAAUAUUUUGAAACCCCAAGAUGCUUGUUUGAAGCUAUAAAUCGCUAUUAGUCACAGCCAAAUUACUGGUUUGAGCGGCUUCUGAACAAACAGGUUACAUAAAAAAAUAUUUACGUGGUUGUUUUUUCACAUAUUAAAUGUCAAGCUGCUUUAGGAGACACAUAAUGAUGACCGUUUGCAUCCAUUUAUGUGGAAAAGGACAU